rnacentral:rRNA from 1 species
UGAGCAACCUGCCCUUGACUCUGGAAUAACAGUUGGAAACAGCUGCUAAUACCGGAUAUGACCUCUGACGACAUCGUCUGGAGGUGGAAAGCUCCGGCGGUCAAGGAUGGGCUCGCGGCCUAUUAGCUUGUUGGUGAGGUAAUGGCCCACCAAGGCGACGACGGGUAGCCGGCCUGAGAGGGUGACCGGCCACACUGGGACUGAGACACGGCCCAGACCUCCUACGGGAGCAG